AGGCUUUAUAGUGGAAAUUAAGACAUUAGAUUGCAAAUCUAAAAAUGCAAAAAUAAUUUGCUAAAGCUUA
rnacentral:tRNA from 1 species